rnacentral:rRNA from 1 species
GGAUUAGGCAUGCAAGUCGAGCGAGAAAGGGGGCUUCGGCCUCCGAGUAAAGUGGCGAAAGGGUGAGUAAUACAUCGACCAUCUACCCCUGGGAUCGGGACAACGGCUGGAAACGGCCGCUAAUACCGGAUAGUCCAGCGAUGGUAAACGGCGGGGACCCUUCGGGGGGGGACCUUCGGGCCUGCCACCUGAGGAGGAGUCGAUGUCCUAUCAGCUUGUUGGUGGGGUAAUGGCUCACCAAGGCGAAGACGGGUAGCCGGACUGAGAGGUUGGCCGGCCACACUGGGACUGAGACACUGCCCAGACUCCUACGGGAGGCUGCAGUCGAGAAUCUUCCGCAAUGGGCGAAAGCCUGACGGAGCGACGCCGCGUGCAGGAUGAAGGCCCUCGGGUUGUAAACUGCUGUCACAGGUUAGGAAAACCGGGGAGACAACAUCAAUCCGGAUGACGUUACCUGCAGAGGAAGCCCUGGCUAACUCCGUGCCAGCAGCCGCGGUAAUACGGAGAGGGCAAGCGUUGUUCGGAAUCACUGGGCAUAAAGCGCACGUAGGCGGAUGUGCACGUCGGUGGUGAAAUCCCCGGGCUCAACCCGGGAACUGCCUUCGAUACGGCGCGGCUAGAGUGUGGGAAGGAGAGUUGGAACUCCUGGUGGAGCCGGUGAAAUGCGUAGAUAUCAGGAGGAACGCCGGAGGCGAAAGCGGUUCUCUGGCCCACAACUGACGCUGAGGUGCGAAAGCUAGGGGAGCAAACAGGAUUAGAUACCCUGGUAGUCCUAGCCGUAAACGAUGGGCACUACGUAGGGGGGCUCCCAAGGCCUCCCUGCCGGAGCUAAUGUAUUAAGUGCCCCGCCUGGGGAGUAUGGUCGCAAGGCUAAAACUCAAAGGAAUUGACGGGGGCUCACACAAGCGGUGGAGGAUGUUGCUUAAUUCGAAGCAACGCGUAGAACCUUACCAGGACUUGACAUGCUGGUGGUACGAACCCGAAAAGGUAAGGACCUGCUUCGGUAGGAGCCAGCACAGGUGUUGCAUGGCUGUCGUCAGCUCGUGCCGUGAGGUGUUGGGUUAAGUCCCGUAACGAGCGAAACCCUUGCUACUAGUUGCCAGCGGGUAAUGCCGGGGACUCUAGUGGGACUGCCGGUGUCAAGCCGGAGGAAGGUGGGGACGACGUCAAGUCAUCAUGGCCCUUAUGUCCUGGGCUGCAAACGUCCUACAAUGGCCGGUACAAAGGGUUGCCAACCCGCGAGGGGGAGCUAAUCUCAAAAAGCCGGCCUCAGUUCGGAUAGUAGGCUGAAAUUCGCCUGCUUGAAGCUGGAAUCGCUAGUAAUCGUGGAUCAGCUACGCCACGGUGAAUAUGUUCCUGAGCCUUGUACACCCG